rnacentral:rRNA from 1 species
CCUACGGGUGGCAGCAGUAGGGAAUUUUCGGCAAUGGGGGGAACCCUGACCGAGCAACGCCGCGUGAACGAAGAAGUUAUUCGUAAUGUAAAGUUCUUUUAACAGGGAAGAAAAAGAAAUUUGACGGUAUCUGAAGAAUAAGCUCCGUCUAACUACGUGCCAGCAGCCGCGGUAAUACGUGGGGAGCGAGCGUUAUCGGGAAGUAUUGGGCGAAAAGGGUGCGUAGAUGGCAUAGUAAGUCUUUUGUAAAAAUGCUGGACUCAACCCAGUAGGGCAAUAGAUACUGCAAAGCUAGAGUAUGACAGAGGCAGGUGGAACUACUGGUGUAGCGGUGAAAUGCGUAGAUAUAUGGAAGAACACCAGUGGCGAAGGCGGCUUGCUGGGUCGAUACUGACGUUGAGGCACGAAAGCGUGGGGAGCAAACAGGAUUAGAUACCCCUGUAGUC